UAAUAUUAUGAUAAUAGGGCAUCCUAUAAUUAUGAAAGCUAUAAGCGCUGUGAGAGAGCUUUGCGUCCCAUUAGCUAGUUGGAGAGGUAACGGCUCACCAAGGCGAUGAUGGGUAGCCGGCCUGAGAGGGUGAUCGGCCACAAGGGGACUGAGACACGGCCCUUACUCCUACGGGAGGCAGCAGUGGGGAAUAUUGGACAAUGGACCAAGAGUCUGAUCCAGCAAUUCUGUGUGCACGAUGAAGUUUUUCGGAAUGUAAAGUGCUUUCAGUUGGGAAGAAAGAAAUGACGGUACCAACAGAAGAAGUGACGGCUAAAUACGUGCCAGCAGCCGCGGUAAUACGUAUGUCACGAGCGUUAUCCGGAUUUAUUGGGCGUAAAGCGCGUCUAGGUGGUUAUGUAAGUCUGAUGUGAAAAUGCAGGGCUCAACUCUGUAUUGCGUUGGAAACUGUAUAACUAGAGUACUGGAGAGGUGAGCGGAACUACAAGUGUAGAGGUGAAAUUCGUAGAUAUUUGUAGGAAUGCCGAUGGGGAAGCCA
rnacentral:rRNA from 1 species